AGGUGCUACUAUGGCUGAGAACAUCUGUUUUGCUCCUUCUCCAUCCUUCGCAUGGCAGGGCACCGUCCUGACACAGGUCAACCAUGGUUCACAGAUUAACAUGAUCUCCAGGAAGCCAGCAUGUCCUUGCCCAGCUAGACUCCCAGAGACCUGCUGCGUGCCCACCAGCUUCUUGUCUCUAGGGAUAGAAGAUGGUGGGAGCUGGAGACAAGCAGGGCAGCUGGCAGAUUUUGCAAUAUGCAGAAGAUCCCCUGGCCCUCCCUCUGUGGCUGAAUUUAUGGGUAAAAAACAAACAGGAGCUUGGAAGCCAGGUAAGACUCGCCUUACUUCUUUCUCCAAGUAUUUUGGACUCAGCAUGGCUCUAGGUGUUACAGGAAGUAAUGACACCCAAGAUUGGGCCCCUGCCUUAAACGACCUCAGUUAAGGGGCUAAAUCCAUUCCACACCAAACAAUAUGAAAAUAUGGGAGGUGCUUCAGGUCUGGCAUGCUGCCAGCUAUGCACGCAGUAGGAGAUGUCCCUGGGUCUUGGUGUUUGGGAAUGGGCAUCAUACUGACCAGCAUCUAAAGGUUGUUCCACUGCUAUCAGUACAGCAUCGGAGAUGGUCCUCUGGCCCACUGCACCUGAGUUUUGUGUCCAGAAUGAACAGGGCAGCCUGAUUCCAGGGCCCCUAUGAGGACAGGAAGCACUUUAGGGUGUCAGGAAGACAGGGACCCAUCUGUUCUGUGCACAGCCACAACCCUGGUA
rnacentral:lncRNA from 1 species